AAUGGUCAAAUAUGACAAUCAUGAUUUGGGCUCCACCGGUGGAGCCAGAACCGACAAGAACCCCUCCAAAAUAAACACGAGAAAUAGAUGAAUGAACUAAUGAUACACCGUGUAGCCCAACUAAUGAUAACCCCUCCAAAAUAAUCAAUUGGUUUCUAAACCAAAUAUUCUCAAUGCGUGUAGCCCAACAAAAAACUGCACUAGCUAAACACCCAGAUACAUAAUCAAAUGGCUAAGAUUGU
rnacentral:lncRNA from 1 species